ACAAACUUGGUCAUUUAGAGGAAGUAAAAGUCGUAACAAGGUCUCCGUUGGUGAACCAGCGGAGGGAUCAUUACCGAGUUUAUCCAACUCCCAAACCCCUGUGAACCUACCUACAGUUGCUUCGGCGGCGCGGCUCAGGCCCGCCGCCGGGGGACCCGAACCUAUGUUUCAGUGAGAAAGAGUAUUCUGAGUGGCUUAAAGCAAACAAUCAAAACUUUCAACAACGGAUCUCUUGGUUCUGGCAUCGAUGAAGAACGCAGC
rnacentral:misc_RNA from 1 species